GAUGAAGAACGCAGCGAAAUGCGAUAAGUAAUGUGAAUUGCAGAAUUCAGUGAAUCAUCGAAUCUUUGAACGCACAUUGCGCCCGCUAGUAUUCUGGCGGGCAUGUCUGUCCGAGCGUCAUUUCAACCCUCAAGCCCCCGGGCUUGGUGUUGGGGAUCGGCGAGCCUCCGCGCCCGCCGUCCCCUAAAUCUAGUGGCGGUCUCGCUGUAGCUUCCUCUGCGUAGUAGCACACCUCGCACUGGGAAACAGCGCGGCCACGCCGUUAAACCCCCAACUUCUGAACGUUUGACCUCGGAUCAGGUAGGAAUACCCGCUGAAUUUAAGCAUAUCAAUAAGCGGAGGA
rnacentral:misc_RNA from 1 species